CGUGGAUAGACUCGAAAGUCGGAGGUACUGUACUUACCGUUGACGAAGAAGUAAAUAAAAAUACCAAGAGAGUUACUGGAAGCGGACCGGCUUCUUUCCCUUCGAUAGGAACAUCGAUAGAAACCCAUCUGGUCGAAGAGCGCCUCUGCAAUGGAAGACUUGUUCCUGGCGAUCGGGCAAGAAAAACGAAGACAUUUUAGCCUCUUCUACGUAUUUUUUUAAAAGAAAUUAUAGGGGUAGUAAUGACUAAAGAUUCCCUAGUUUACUCCGGGCCCGGGAAAAAGUCCCCAGCUUUUCCCCUGUGUGCGAAAUUCCAAUCUUUCAUACAGUUCCGAAGAAAUUAGGCAAGUUACUCGCUACUGAGCCAUUCAAUGCCUCUACGAUCUCUUAAUGAAUACGUAAUAAGCAUUCUUAUAUUAUUCCCUUUAAUCAAAAAUUAGUAGAAAGCUUUCUUGUGUCAUCUUUUGGAUAAUAUUGUGCUACAUUUUGAUUAAUUAAUAACACAGAUAGUCCGGCAUCUCCUUUAAUCCGAACGUAAUUACGAGAGGGAACUUGCUAUAACCGAGAGACCCCCCCAGACUUUUAUUUGGGUGCCACAGAUUGUGUUGUGUUUAUGGCGCGUUUAUUUAAACUGCAUUCGGUAGUGUCAUAUGAAAAACGACAGAAAGAUUCAGGCAUAGUUGAUGCCUUAGUAGUGUGUUGUCGAAGCAAAUUUAAUAAAAUAUGAUAAAUUUCCAAGUUGAUACAAAACUAAAAUCAAGAUGGGCCUCGGAGGAACGUAAUCCGCUAGUGUUAUGUGUCGUAAAAUGAGAGGUAGAAACCACUACGGGUCCUUAAAUUUUCACUGGAAUCAAGAAAAUAUCCAUAGCUCCCUCUCUCUCUCGAUGGCCCUGAUUAUAGAUAAGCUUCACUUAAUUUGUAAGACAAAAUUACUUUAGGUACAAAGAAAUUUUUACAGCAAUCGGGCGUCCAAAUGGGCUGUAUAUUUGGAAGAAACAGUUAUAUAGUAUAUAGUUUUUCUUCUAAGCUACAUAUUCCGCAUCACAUCAUAGGCUGUAUAUAUGUUGAUGUUAUGUUAAUAGAAGACAGCAUGGAAGGAGUGAUUCAAAUGUAUUUUUGAACCAUAUCGCUAUAUUACUUUCUCACUGGAGGAGAUAUCAUAUUAUUAUUCAAAAUUUUAUGAGUAAAUAGUAUUAUUCAGCAAUUUUUUUUCUUUCGAAUAUCCUAACAACAGUCAGAAAGUUGUUUUUCUCCACUCAUUUCUUUACAGGAUAUUAGAAUUACGUAAGAACUUUCCUUUUCAGUUACCGGCUGGCGUCAUUCACAUUGCGCAAAGUGUAUUGCGAAAAUAGAGAAUGAUCACGAGUGAACUUUGUUUCUGGCAGAAGCUCAAGAGUAAAAGUCAGUAGUGUGGCCAAAAUGGCUAUAUUCCUGACAGCAGAAACUUCUAUUAAAACUGCCAUACAAUAUUUCCAGAAUAGUUUUUUUAUAGAACUCUUUAUUAAAGACGUUUAAAUUCGAUAUUACUAUAUGGUGGACAAUAAAGUUUAUCCUAUGCUAAAGUAGUUUUACUUGUUAAUUUUUUCGGUAAAAAUCAUGCAUGGGGGAUUAGGUAAAAUUGUUUACUACGUGUCAAACUAAUUCUCCACGAGAUAAAGAAGAAAGUUAAUUCAAUAAAUACGAAAUGUUCCUCACCUUCUUCUCGAUCUGUUUCUUAUGAUCAGGAAUAAUAAAAUAAGUAUGCCAACAACGAGCA